AUUGAACGCUGGCGGAAUGCCUUACACAUGCAAGUCGAACGGUAGAGGGGGCAACCCCUCGAGAGUGGCGAACGGGUGAGUAAUAUAUCGGAACGUGCCCAGUCGUGGGGGAUAACGUAGCGAAAGUUACGCUAAUACCGCAUACGAUCUAAGGAUGAAAGCGGGGGUUCGCAAGACCUCGCGCGAUUGGAGCGGCCGAUAUCAGAUUAGGUAGUUGGUGGGGUAAAGGCUCACCAAGCCAACGAUCUGUAGCUGGUCUGAGAGGACGACCAGCCACACUGGAACUGAGACACGGUUCAGACUCCUACGGGAGGCAGCAGUGGGGAAUUUUGGACAAUGGACGCAAGUCUGAUCCAGCCAUUCCGCGUGCAGGAUGAAGGCCCUCGGGUUGUAAACUGCUUUUGUACGGAACGAAAAGGUCUCUCUUAAUACGGGGGGCUCAUGACGGUACCGUAAGAAUAAGCACCGGCUAACUACGUGCCAGCCGCCGCAGUAA
rnacentral:rRNA from 1 species